UGUUUCUUUAUUGAGUCCCUACUACCUCUACGGAUAUUCUGGGGGCAAUUAAAGAAAAUCGCCGCUUCCUAGACAGCACAUAUUUCCCAUAGAAAUGUGGAAUGUAAGAAAGGCACAUAAAGCAAUCCAAGUUGCCUACAGAUAUCCACAGCCUACUUCAGUCCCAGUAAUGCUCUUUUAACCUGGCUAUAUGGAGAGUUGACAGAAAAUACAGGAUCAUCAAUAAAUGAUACAGUAAAUACA
rnacentral:antisense_RNA from 1 species